UUUCCCUAUCUAGCGCCAGACCUUUUUAGAUAAAAGGUUAACGAGGAAAAGAGUGAUCGAAAAUUCGGCGGAUGCUCUUUCGUACCGGCUCCGGUGCGGGAUAUACCGGCAAAUAUGCAGGUGACUGCAAAACAAAUACGGUAUAACGGAGUUUA
rnacentral:ncRNA from 2 species